CUACCAGGCGCAGCAGUGGGGAAUUUUGGACAAUGGGGAAACCCUGAUCCAGCCAUCCCGCGUGUGCGAUGAAGGCCUUCGGGUUGUAAAGCACUUUUGGCAGGAAAGAAACGGCGCAGGAUAAUGCCCGUGCAACUGACAGUACACGAACCAGCACCGGCUAACUGCGUGCCAACAGCCGCGGUAAUACGUAGGGUGCAAGCGUUAAUCAGAUUACUGGGCGUAAAGCGUGCGCAGGCGGUUCGGAAGAGAUCUUGAAAUCCCAGAGCUUAACUUUGGAACUGCAUUUUUAACUACCGAGCUAGAGAGUGUGUCAGAGGGGGAGGUGGAAUUCCCGCGUGUAGCAGUGAAAUGCGUAGAUAUGCGGAGGAACACCGAUGGCGAAGGCAGCCUCCUGGGAUAACGCGACGCUCAUGCACGAAAAGCGUGGGGGAGCAAACAGGAUUAGAUACCCCGGUAGU
rnacentral:misc_RNA from 1 species